UACGAAGGGGGCUAGCGUUGCUCGGAUUGACUGGGCGUAAAGGGCGCGUAGGCGGUUCGUACAGUCAGACGUGAAAUUCCUGGGCUCAACCUGGGGGCUGCGUUUGAUACGUGCGGACUUGAGUGCGGAAGAGGGUCGUGGAAUUCCCAGUGUAGAGGUGAAAUUCGUAGAUAUUGGGAAGAACACCGGUGGCGAAGGCGGCGACCUGGUCCGAUACUGGACGCUGAGGCGCGAAAGCGUGGGGAGCAAACAGG
rnacentral:rRNA from 1 species